GGAUGUAGCUUAGUUUGGUAGAGCGCUAGCUUCGGGAGUUAGAGGUCGCAGGUUCAAAUCCCGUCAUCC
rnacentral:tRNA from 1 species